GACGAACGCUGGCGGCGUGCUUAACACAUGCAAGUCGAACGGAAAGGCCCUGCUUUUGUGGGGUGCUCGAGUGGCGAACGGGUGAGUAACACGUGAGUAACCUGCCCUUGACUUUGGGAUAACUUCAGGAAACUGGGGCUAAUACCGGAUAGGAGCUCCUGCUGCAUGGUGGGGGUUGGAAAGGUUCGGCGGUUGGGGAUGGGCUCGCGGCUUAUCAGCUUGUUGGGGGGGUAGUGGCUUACCAAGGCUUUGACGGGUAGCCGGCCUGAGAGGGUGACCGGCCACAUGGGGACUGAGAUACGGCCCAGACUCCUACGGGAGGCAGCAGUGGGGAAUAUUGCACAAUGGGCGGAAGCCUGAUGCAGCAACGCCGCGUGCGGGAUGACGGCCUUCGGGUUGUAAACCGCUUUCGCCUGUGACGAAGCGUGAGUGACGGUAAUGGGUAAAGAAGCACCGGCUAACUACGUG
rnacentral:rRNA from 1 species